rnacentral:rRNA from 1 species
AAUACGGAGGGCGCAAGUAUUAAUCGGAAUUUCUGGGCGUAAAGCGCACGCAGGCGGUAUGUCAACUCGGAUUUCAAAUCCCCGGGCUCACCGUGGGAAAUGCAUUUGAAACGGGCAGGCCGGAGUUUUGUAGAGGGGGGUAGAAUUCCAGGUGUAGCGGUGAAAUGCGCAGAGAUUCGGAGGAAUACCGGUGGCGAAGGCGGCCCCCUGGACAAAGACUGACGCUCAGGUGCGAAAGCGUGGGGAGCAAACAGGAUUAGAUACCCUGGUAGUCCACCCCGUAAACGACGUCGAUUUGGAGGUUGUGCCCCGAGGGGUGGCUUCUGGAGCUACCGCGUAACUCGCCCGCCUGG